rnacentral:lncRNA from 12 species
GAUGGAGCCGGACGGGGUCAUCGAGAGUAACUGGCACGAGGUGGUGGACAGCUUCGACGAGAUGAACCUGUCGGAGGCGCUGCUGCGCGGGAUCUACGCCUACGGCUUCGAGAAACCCUCGGCCAUCCAGCAGAGAGCCAUCCUGCCCUGCAUCAAAGGUGAGACCAGUAUAGACCAGUACAGACCAGUACGGACCAGUACAGACCAGUACGGACCAGUACAGACCAGUACGGACCAGUACAGACCAGUACGGACCAGUACAGACCAGUACGGACCAGUACAGACCAGUACGGACCAGUACAGACCAGUACGGACCAGUACAGACCAGUACGGACCAGUACAGACCAGUACGGACCAGUACAGACCAGUACGGACCAGUACAGACCAGUACGGACCAGUACAGACCAGUACGGACCAGUACAGACCAGUACGGACCAGUACAGACCAGUACGGACCAGUACAGACCAGUACGGACCAGUACAGACCAGUACGGACCAGUACAGACCAGUACGGACCAGUACAGACCAGUACGGACCAGUACAGACCAGUACGGACCAGUACAGACCAGUACGGACCAGUACAGACCAGUACGGACCAGUACAGACCAGUACGGACCAGUACAGACCAGUACGGACCAGUACAGACCAGUACGGACCAGUACAGACCAGUACGGACCAGUACAGACCAGUACGGACCAGUACAGACCAGUACGGACCAGUACAGACCAGUACGGACCAGUACAGACCAGUACGGACCAGUACAGACCAGUACGGACCAGUACAGACCAGUACGGACCAGUACAGACCAGUACGGACCAGUACAGACCAGUACGGACCAGUACAGACCAGUACGGACCAGUACAGACCAGUACGGACCAGUACAGACCAGUACGGACCAGUACAGACCAGUACGGACCAGUACAGACCAGUACGGACCAGUACAGACCAGUACGGACCAGUACAGACCAGUACGGACCAGUACAGACCAGUACGGACCAGUACAGACCAGUACGGACCAGUACAGACCAGUACGGACCAGUACAGACCAGUACGGACCAGUACAGACCAGUACGGACCAGUACAGACCAGUACGGACCAGUACAGACCAGUACGGACCAGUACAGACCAGUACGGACCAGUACAGACCAGUACGGACCAGUACAGACCAGUACGGACCAGUACAGACCAGUACGGACCAGUACAGACCAGUACGGACCAGUACAGACCAGUACGGACCAGUACAGACCAGUACGGACCAGUACAGACCAGUACGGACCAGUACAGACCAGUACGGACCAGUACAGACCAGUACGGACCAGUACAGACCAGUACGGACCAGUACAGACCAGUACGGACCAGUACAGACCAGUACGGACCAGUACAGACCAGUACGGACCAGUACAGACCAGUACGGACCAGUACAGACCAGUACGGACCAGUACAGACCAGUACGGACCAGUACAGACCAGUACGGACCAGUACAGACCAGUACGGACCAGUACAGACCAGUACGGACCAGUACAGACCAGUACGGACCAGUACAGACCAGUACGGACCAGUACAGACCAGUACGGACCAGUACAGACCAGUACGGACCAGUACAGACCAGUACGGACCAGUACAGACCAGUACGGACCAGUACAGACCAGUACGGACCAGUACAGACCAGUACGGACCAGUACAGACCAGUACGGACCAGUACAGACCAGUACGGACCAGUACAGACCAGUACGGACCAGUACAGACCAGUACGGACCAGUACAGACCAGUACGGACCAGUACAGACCAGUACGGACCAGUACAGACCAGUACGGACCAGUACAGACCAGUACGGACCAGUACAGACCAGUACGGACCAGUACAGACCAGUACGGACCAGUACAGACCAGUACGGACCAGUACAGACCAGUACGGACCAGUACAGACCAGUACGGACCAGUACAGACCAGUACGGACCAGUACAGACCAGUACGGACCAGUACAGACCAGUACGGACCAGUACAGACCAGUACGGACCAGUACAGACCAGUACGGACCAGUACAGACCAGUACGGACCAGUACAGACCAGUACGGACCAGUACAGACCAGUACGGACCAGUACAGACCAGUACGGACCAGUACAGACCAGUACGGACCAGUACAGACCAGUACGGACCAGUACAGACCAGUACGGACCAGUACAGACCAGUACGGACCAGUACAGACCAGUACGGACCAGUACAGACCAGUACGGACCAGUACAGACCAGUACGGACCAGUACAGACCAGUACGGACCAGUACAGACCAGUACGGACCAGUACAGACCAGUACGGACCAGUACAGACCAGUACGGACCAGUACAGACCAGUACGGACCAGUACAGACCAGUACGGACCAGUACAGACCAGUACGGACCAGUACAGACCAGUACGGACCAGUACAGACCAGUACGGACCAGUACAGACCAGUACGGACCAGUACAGACCAGUACGGACCAGUACAGACCAGUACGGACCAGUACAGACCAGUACGGACCAGUACAGACCAGUACAGACCGGUACAGACCGGUACAGACAGGUAUAAACCAGUACAAACCGGUAUGGGUCAGUAUCACCCAGUGUAACCCAGCCUAAUUUGGAUCUACACCUACAGCUUAGAGAAAUCAUAAUAUACCAGUGUAGACCAGUACAGACCAGUAUAAACCAGUACAGACCAGUAUAGACCAGUACAGACCAGUACAGACCCGUGUAGUUCAGUAUCAAUCAGCGUGGCGCCUGUAUACACCUGUUCUGGUUAUGACGUCAUGGCUCAGGUAAAACUUGUGAUGUCACACACACAC